rnacentral:snRNA from 1 species
GUGCUCACUUUAGCAGCACACAAAGUAAAGUUGAAAGAGUGCAGAAAAGGUUUGCGUGGCCCUUGUACAAGGGUNGCAUGUAGGAUUGCAUGGUGUAGAACAUUCUU